AGUGAACGCUGACGGUAGGCCUAACACAUGCAAGUCGAACGGCAGCACAGUAAGAGCUUGCUCUUACGGGUGGCGAGUGGCGGACGGGUGAGGAAUACAUCGGAAUCUACUUUUUCGUGGGGGAUAACGUAGGGAAACUUACGCUAAUACCGCAUACGACCUACGGGUGAAAGCAGGGGAUCUUCGGACCUUGCGCGAUUGAAUGAGCCGAUGUCGGAUUAGCUAGUUGGCGGGGUAAAGGCCCACCAAGGCGACGAUCCGUAGCUGGUCUGAGAGGAUGAUCAGCCACACUGGAACCGAGACACGGUCCAGACUCCUACGGGAGGCAGCAGUGGGGAAUAUUGGACAAUGGGCGCAAGCCUGAUCCAGCCAUACCGCGUGGGUGAAGAAGGCCUUCGGGUUGUAAAGCCCUUUUGUUGGGAAAGAAAAGCAGCAGGUUAAUACCCCGCUGUUCUGACGGUACCCAAAGAAUAAGCACCGGCUAACUUCGU
rnacentral:rRNA from 1 species